rnacentral:rRNA from 1 species
UACGUAGGGUGCAAGCGUUGUCCGGAAUUAUUGGGCGUAAAGAGCGUGUAGGCGGCCCGAUUAGUCCGCUGUGAAAGUCCAGGGCUCAACCCUGGAAUGCCGGUGGACACUGUCGGGCUAGAGUCCGGAAGGGGCGAGUGGAAUUCCUGGUGUAGCGGUGAAAUGCGCAGAUAUCAGGAGGAACACCAAUGGCGAAGGCAGCUCGCUGGGACGUGACUGACGCUGAGACGCGAAAGCGUGGGGAGCAAACAGG